ACUACAAAAAAACCCUACAUUAAUAGCAUAUGAAGAUAGCUCGGUUUUCUCAUUUGCUAUUAAAGAAAGUUUAUAAUUUUAGUCUUCAUAUGAUAGCAUUCAAUAAACGCUAAGUCGAAAAAUCUCUAAGCAGGAAUCGAAAAUUGCAUUAUCCGCCAACACUUAACCAAAUAAUUCACUAAAACGCCUUUUCCCUACUCAUUUCUCUUAAAACUUUUUUCUUGCUCUCUCUUUCAAACCCUAAUCCCCUUUUUCCAUCUCCAAAGAUGCAAACCCAUAUCUUCCUCUUGUCUUCGUCGAUGACCAGACCAGGUUUUGAAGCUCAAUUUCUUCUCAUUGUCUCCUCUUUCUCCUUUGUCUUUCGCCGUUUGUUCCUCUCGUCUUCUCUUUCUCUUCUCCUUCUUCUCGGCUCAUACUUCUUAUUAUCAUCACCAUUAAACCCUAGAUUUACUUUCCUUCACUUGUACUCGGAAAUUUCUCCGAUUUGGUAUAGUUUGAGCUCAAAUCAAACGAUUUUAUGUUUGAAUUUCGAUUUGGGAUCAUGUUGAUUUUACAAGGAACAGUAAAAAGUUUCGUUUUUUGUUUUUUUUUCAAAAUUAAUGAGCAGAGUUAUUUUUUCCGAGACAGAGCUUGUGGGAACCAUAGUCAGAGAUUGGAAGGUGAAUUGAUUCCAUGCCCUAUUGAUCCAUCUCACUUUGUGUUGCAGGAGAAUCUCGAAAAGCAUAUCAAAAGAUGUCCUUUACUCAAACAAACCAUACAAUUGUCUGGUCAAAGGUUAUAUCAGAAGGUUAUUAAUGCUGGAAACAAAGAAGAAGAAGGCUGAUCGGGUCAUUGAGGCAAACAGAGAACUUAGUAUAAGAGCGUAUGAGAAUCGAUAGUGUUUAUACCAAAUCGAUUUGGGAUCUCUUUGCAGGACAAAAAUCAAUUUUGGAUCUCUUUGCAGGAAACAUUUAUGUUUAAAGUCUUGUUGGGUCAAUGCUUGCUAAAGAAAGGGCCACCAGAUGUAUCCAAUUUGGUUUCAGAGGCUUUUAAGGUAUUAAUAUCUAUGUCGCACUACUAAUUAUCAUCAUCUUUCACCCACCUUCUAAUUUCAAAAAGUGUUCUUUUUUUCCUCUUUACGACGAAAUACUAUGAUGAUGUUCUUUGGAAUAAUAGAUUAAUGGUUUAUAUCUCUUGAUAGAUGGUAUUUAGGCAACUGAAACAAGAUUUACUUGUCUUAUCUCUAUUUUUCUUGUAGGUCAACAGUAUUAGGUGUGUAUUGUAGUUAUGGGUUCAGGUCCUCUAGAGUUUUAUGUUAAAAGUUUUGUAUCCCUCUCUGCUCUAAUCUUCUAGUACUAAUAACCCACAGCUCGAGAAUCUUGUAAGUCUUCUUGCCAUUUGCUGAUGGUUCAUGUAAUCUUACAGAUAGAAUAGAACAUUUAGUGACUUUGUCAUUUGCUAGUCAAAAUUUGCAGGCUUUCACCUAAUUGAGUAUGUAAUGUAGCCACCCUUUACUUGUUUGUUUUAGUAUGAUAUUGUACUUGUAAAAUUUUCAGAUAAGUGGGCAAAACAUUCUUUUGGAAUGACCUCAAAUACUCGGAGGCUACCAAAGUAGAGGAGAUUGAUUGAAGAAUGUGAUCACAGUAUGGCGCUACAAGAGAAAGGAUGGACCAUGUAUCAAAGGCUAAGUCUGCUAAGGAUGGUAUUAUUCUUUGUAUGAUCUAGAAGUUUGUCUCUAUUUAUUGCAAUGUUAGUUUUAUUUUAUUUAAGACUUUGUGGCACUUGAUGUUAUGUAACAUUUGAUAUUAUGUAAGACUUCUUUUGGUUAAUGUAAUAUUAAUGUUAUGUAUGU